CCUACGGGCGGCAGCAGUGAGGAAUAUUGGUCAAUGGACGAGAGUCUGAACCAGCCAAGUAGCGUGAAGGAUGACUGCCCUAUGGGUUGUAAACUUCUUUUAUAUGGGAAUAAAAUGUUCCACGUGUGGGAUUUUGUAUGUACCAUAUGAAUAAGGAUCGGCUAACUCCGUGCCAGCAGCCGCGGUAAUACGGAGGAUCCGAGCGUUAUCCGGAUUUAUUGGGUUUAAAGGGUGCGUAGGUGGAUUGUUAAGUCAGUUGUGAAAUUUUGCGGCUCAACCGUAAAAUUGCAGUUGAAACUGGCAGUCUUGAGUACAGUAGAGGUGGGCGGAAUUCGUGGUGUAGCGGUGAAAUGCUUAGAUAUCACGAAGAACUCCGAUUGCGAAGGCAGCUCACUGGACUGCAACUGACACUGAGGCUCGAAAGUGUGGGUAUCAAACAGGAUUAGAUACCCCAGUAGUC
rnacentral:rRNA from 1 species